rnacentral:rRNA from 1 species
UACGGAGGGUGCAAGCGUUAAUCGGAAUUACUGGGCGUAAAGGGUGCGUAGGUGGUGAUAUAAGUUAUCUGUGAAAUCCCUGGGCUUAACCUAGGAAGGUCAGAUAGUACUGUAUAACUAGAGUAUGAGAGAGGGUAGUGGAAUUUCCGGAGUAGCGGUGAAAUGCGUAGAUAUCGGAAGGAACACCAGUGGCGAAGGCGGCUACCUGGCUUAAUACUGACACUGAGGCACGAAAGCGUGGGGAGCAAACAGGAUUAGAUACCCGU